rnacentral:rRNA from 1 species
UCUGUGAUGCCCUUAGAUGUUCUGGGCUGCACGCGCGCUACACUGAUGCACUCAACGAGUUUACGACCUUGCCUGGAAAGGUUGGGUAAUCUUUUUAAAAUGCAUCGUGAUGGGGAUAGAUUAUUGCAAUUAUUAAUCUUCAACGAGGAAUUCCUAGUAAGCGCGAGUCAUCAGCUCGUGCUGAUUACGUCCCUGCCCUUUGUACACACCGC